rnacentral:misc_RNA from 1 species
AACUUUCGGCAACGGAUCACUUGGCUCUCGCAUCGAUGAGGAACGCAGCGAAAUGCGAUAAGUAAUGUGAAUUGCAGAAUUCAGGGAAUCAUCGAAUCUUUGAACGCACCUUGCGCCCUUUGGCUAUUCCGAAGGGCAUGCCUGUUUGAGUAUCAUGAACACCUCAACUCUCGUGUUGCGCCACGAUGAGCUUGGACUUUGGGGGUCUUGCCGGCCUAGCGUCGGCUCCUCUCAAAUGGAUCAGCUUGCCCGUGUUUGGUGGCGUCACAGGUGUGAUAACUAUCUACGCUUGUGGUUUCUGCCAUGCAACCUUCAGCAAUGGGGGUUCGCUGGAGCUCACAGAUGUCUCUCCUUGGGGAGGACAGCUUUUUGAACGUUUGAUCUCAAAUCAGGUAGGACUACCCGCUGAACUUAAGCAUAUCAAUAAGCGGAGGCU